GCCAGUUUGUGAUUGGUCCCCGCAAAAUUGUAACGGAAGCAGGAUAGAUAAAUGUACAGGUUUCCAGCCUGAGCUACAGGGCGAAAUCAAAUCGCCGGCAGAUCGGGCUGGGUUUACCCAGUCUAGCACGAACUAGCUACAAAACAGAAAUGCCAACACUUUUUAAAUAUUUCAAAGCUGUAUUCUUUGAUUUUGUGGUCACUGGAGGGGGAGAAAAGCCAAAACAAGCCGCCAGAUGCGAACACAGCAUACCAUGUAAUGUAUCGGUCGUUUGAUUCAGUGUUUAAAAAUAAAUCAAUGAAUGCAGCUUUGACCUGAUAUGAUUCUGUUCUAGUUGAUGGAUUAACGUUGGAUUUACACUAAAUGUCCAGUUUACAGUUCAUGUCCAGUGUCCCUCCAGCAGGGAAAACACACUUUAAUAUAUUCAGUCAAUCUGCUUAAAUACCAAGAAAGGAUUUGAAGGUUUUUAAAAAGCCUGAGAAAUGUUUCCCCUUGAGGUCCGAAGCAACAGAUGUCAUCUACAAGUUAUCUGAUGAUACACUGAGUCAAUUAGUCAAAACAAUUAAAGAAGGCUUAUUUAAUUUUUUUUUUUACCUUCAAUCAGUUGAUACAUUUGAUUUUUACGGGUUUUAAUCACAUUUGUUUUUUUUAAUUCUUCUUGGUGCAAUCAUACGUAGUAUAAUUAUUUAUCCACGUUACAUUUUCCACAUGAAUUUCCUUUUUUCAGUGUUAUAAAAAUGGGAAAUGUUGAGGAAAAUAAGAAAUGAAGGGUGAAAGAUAUGAAAAGACAACAAAAUAAAACAAGUCAGUAAAAACAAUGUAUUGAAAGAAUUGUAAAAAUAAAAAUCAGAAUUUUAAAAAUACUAACGGCAAGUCACAUUUAUGAGAUACUAAGUCAACAUUUUUACUUUUCUAAGCCAAAGUUAUAAGUAUUUUGAUUCAUUUGCUGGCUAAUAAUCAUGAUUUAAAACGUCACAAGUGAUCAUUUUGACUUAAGUUUGACAUAAAAAAAAAAAAAAAAAUCAUAAUUUUGACUUAAAGUGACAUGACAUUUUUUUUUUGUUUUAUUGUUCAUUGUAAUUUGUUAGUAAAGGUAAAUUAGUUUUAUAUUAAUUUAAAAAUAUAUAUAAAUUGAAAUUAUUUAGCCCUCCUACGUACACACUUAGUUUCUGUUGACUCCACAGAUAACUCAUGAAUGACAUUUGUACCCAGAGGGGACAAAUGUCACUCAUGAGUACUGUUGUGAUGUAGUUCCAGAUUCUGGUCUGGUGGUCUCGCUCAGAUCUCGUGUACAUAUCCAGUCACAGCUCAAGUGUUAAAAGAGUAUUAAAGCCUGUGCUGUUUGUGAGUCCAGGUGUCACUGAGGAACAAAAACCUGGUUUUUAACUGUAUCCACAUCUGUCUGAAUGGGGAGUGAUUUUACUCUUUGUUGUCCUCUGAUUGGUGGACAGCAGCCUUCUUCAACUGUGAUGCUUGAUUUAUAAAAUUAAGCCCUCCCCUCACUUUAAAACACACCGGACUUUCAGACUCUCAAUCUGCUUUUCAUUACUUAAUAACCUGCACGCCACAUUUCACUGGGGUAAAAAAACAUAAGGAACUAACUUAAGAAACAGUCUUUCCAGAA